UGCCUUCAGUCUGCCGAGAACCGGCGGCCGACGCGCACGCGUCGCGUGCUUCCUCGCUUCCGCGAAAAUCUUGUGUCGUGUGCAGCCGGACCUACCGGUAACAGACCAAACUUCAAGGGAACUUACUGUGUUGGAUGCCAGUGUGAUAAUUUAAGACUAGAGAACCGAAGUCUAGACGUGAAAAUGUAUUAAAAUGUUCACACAUCGCGCCGAGACACUGCACCCAAGCACAGAAUGCGAGCAGAGGAUCGAGAAGUAGCGUGAUGCAAUUGUUAACGCUGAACUUUUUAAUAAUGUUCGACGUAGUAUUCAUAUUCUUUCUCUUUCUAAUCGCGGUGAUAUGCGUGCUGAGCUACAUGCCGAAGAAGAAGAGACAAGAGGUCACUGAUGAAGAUAUAGAUGAUAAUGUGAUCCCGCCGCCGCCAUUGUUUGACGAUGCUGUUGCUUCGACCAGUCGAGAUACGUACGUCACUAUACCUCCCCCAAUAAAUAAUGAUAAAGCUAAAAAGGGGUGUCCUAUACAUGUGGUGUAGGUGAAGCACUGAUAUAUAUCAACGUAGGAGUUUAUAACGAAGGAGCCUUAUGAGAAAGUAGGUGUCGAAAAUUAAAAAGUAGUCUUUUUUACCAAUUAGGCGAUUAUAAAUAAAUUUCUUGUAAAGACUACCUUUGGUGGAAAUAAGGGACGCAAGUGUGAGGUACAUAUAGAAUUGGGCUGUAGAUGUCAAGUUGAAAGGCAUCAUAAAAACAUUACUUUAGAAGUACGCGUUUUAACGUCGACGAAGACACGAUAUUUUAACAUGUUACAAAAGUAGGGAUCCAAAAUUUAAUAAUGUUGGAAUGUGAGCCGUAGAAGUUAAUGUUGUACUACUGUUUACAAUACAUAGGUAUUUGGUACUAUAUACAAAUUAGACAUACUCUGUUAUGUUGCGAACUUACUGUCAGUAUUCAUCUUUUGUAACAAAACUGACAGUUUUUUAUAGCAUGCACUGUUAUAAAAAAAUACUGAAGACGAGUGCGUGUAAACGCCGUUGAGUAGAAAACUUAUAAUUCGUGACAGUUUUUGAUGAUUUAAAUUUAAUUUAUAAUAAUUUAUACAUUUCCAUCUCAGAAACAUGUAUGUAUAUAGGAGUAGUAUUUACAGGGUAGCUUUAAACACUAAACAAAUAAUUGCAGCAACUUUGGAUGACGAUAUACAGCAGGUAUUCAAAUAAAACUAUAGGUAAAACUGUCUUAUUUGCCCUUCGUACACUGGACUUAGUAUGGAAAGUCGACAAUAUUGUCGACAGUCUGUCUAUAAAAAGUACAAAACGGACCAACGGAAAAAGGAAAACUUGACCAUUCUUUUUGGUAUAGAACCAUUGCAAUGGUCAAGAUUUGCUGGUAAAUGCCCAUUAUUGUCAGCCAAGAGGAAGCCAGCGUCCUCAUUAUUGAUCCUCAUUGAGUAAUUAAUAACUCAACUUCAAAAUUCUGCUUUAAUUUUUUUAAUUUGUUAUAAGGCGUCUUCUGCAGAUAUUGUGAUUUGGGUGGUGUUUAAAGAUCCAUCCUGUAUAUAUGCUAUUAUCGCUAAGAAAAACUUUUAUUUUCUCCUCUAUUCUGCAAUAUAGAUGUAUCAAUCUAAUAAAAUUGGUGUGGAUUGCGAUCAACUAUACUAGAACGGCCUUAGACCGAAUAUUGACUAAUCAGUGUGCACCUUUAUAUUAAAGUGUUCAAAAUUCGCAUCAAAUAUUUAUAAAUGCUUGUUAAGAUGAAUGCGACUGAUUCAUAGAUAGUAUAGAUAAUAUAGUACGUAAUUAUUUGUAUUUGCUUGCGAACUCACAUUAAGUUACGACAAUUGUGCUUGUAGCACAAGCAUAAGUAAACAUCUAAUCUAAUGGCUCUAAUGAUAACAAUGUAUGACGAUAUAAUUGUUAUAACUUACAUUUCAGGUAUAAGAAGCAAUUUUUUAUUAUUAUAUAUUUAGAAUUAUUUUCUAAGCUGAAAACGAGUUUACAAAUAUUACUCAUGUUUUACUUAAGUGUAUUUGUUUAGAAACAUAAAUAUGCCUUUAAUUUUAUUAUUAAAUUGAUCGGUGCUUAUUAGUUAUUAUCUUUCUAUAAUUUAUAAAAUAUAGAUAGUAUAAAAAAAUUUGGUUUUCACCCCGAAUUA